rnacentral:rRNA from 1 species
GCAGUCGAGCGAGCUUGCCUAUUGAAAUUCUUCGGAAUGGACAUAGAUACAAGCUAGCGGCGGAUGGGUGAGUAACGCGUGGGUAACCUGCCCUUAAGUCUGGGAUACCAUUUGGAAACAGAUGCUAAUACCGGAUAAAAGCUACUUUCGCAUGAAAGAAGUUUAAAAGGCGGCGUAAGCUGUCGCUAAAGGAUGGACCUGCGAUGCAUUAGCUAGUUGGUAAGGUAACGGCUUACCAAGGCGAUGAUGCAUAGCCGAGUUGAGAGACUGAUCGGCCACAUUGGGACUGAGACACGGCCCAAACUCCUACGGGAGGCAGCAGUAGGGAAUCUUCCACAAUGGACGCAAGUCUGAUGGAGCAACGCCGCGUGAGUGAAGAAGGUUUUCGGAUCGUAAAGCUCUGUUGUUGGUGAAGAAGGAUAGAGGUAGUAACUGGCCUUUAUUUGACGGUAAUCAACCAGAAAGUCACGGCUAACUACGUGCCAGCAGCCGCGGUAAUACGUAGGUGGCAAGCGUUGUCCGGAUUUAUUGGGCGUAAAGCGAGCGCAGGCGGAUUGAUAAGUCUGAUGUGAAAGCCUUCGGCUCAACCGAAGAACUGCAUCAGAAACUGUCAAUCUUGAGUGCAGAAGAGGAGAGUGGAACUCCAUGUGUAGCGGUGGAAUGCGU